rnacentral:rRNA from 1 species
CACUCUAGAGAGACUGCCAGGGAUAACCUGGAGGAAGGUGGGGAUGACGUCAAAUCAUCAUGCCCCUUAUGCUUAGGGCUACACACGUGCUACAAGGGGUAGUACAGAGGGUUGCCAAGCCGUAAGGUGGAGCUAAUCCCUUAAAGCUACUCUCAGUUCGGAUUGUAGGCUGAAACUCGCCUACAUGAAGCUGGAGUUACUAGUAAUCGCAGAUCAGAAUGCU